CGUUAUUUCCCUAAUAGAGCAAGAAAGCAUAUGAGCUGAUGGUGUGAAUAUGUUGGCUCAAGCUGAGUUUCAAUUCAACGGUAAAUAAUUAGGAUGAGAAUAAACGUGUUAGUUUAUUCGUAUCACAGGGUCAUAUACAAACAUGUAUAAUAAUAAUUCCAUUGAAACGGAAUGAAAUAUCGCAAUAACUUGACAACAAAGUCACAUACCAUAGCUGAAAAUAAAAGAUUCAUGAGAUAAGAGAACUGUGUACUACAGUCAAUUAGUUGGUGAAUAAGUAUUAAAAGAAAAAUGGAAAUUGAUACACAUGACGUUUGGUGUGUCUGCCAAGAUAAGACGUUAUUGCAAUGUUUAGACAGGAACUUGUUGCACAGAAUAUAGCUAGUUCUAUAUAUUUUCUUUGUGAGCUACAUUUUGACGUCCGUAUGUUUAACACGUCCCUUCUGUCUAUGUCUAUCGGCAAACAUACAUAACUAGAAAUAGAUAUGGAUAUUCAAACGUGAAUCCGCAAAUCAGCCAUAUCAACCUAUCUUGGAAACGUUUAUCUUUACAAAUGUCAUAUUUGUACUUAAAAAGAAUAUUACAUAUUUAAUUGUGUAAUUAUAUGAACCUUAACAGUAUUCCUUUAUUUUACUGCUAUAUCAAACCAUGUGACUACAUGCACGCACC
rnacentral:lncRNA from 1 species